UCCAGUAUAGUUUGCAUAGUUGGAGUGUAG
rnacentral:piRNA from 1 species